CCAUUCUCAGAUAUCCAGUUCCCCCUGGCAGCUGAAGAGGAGCAUCAGGAAGAGACAGAUGCUCCGGACCAGCCUCCGCUCCACUUCCCAGGCCUGAGUCACUCCCUGGAGCACCUGGAGGAGAGCUCCAACACCUCCAGCUCCGGAGGCUCGCCCAAGUGGUCCCUCCCGUACAUCAAGACGGAACCUCAAGACUCCGACGAGACGUCUCAGCACACGAGACCCCCAUCUGGGCUGGAUGCCUUCGAUGACAACAUCUCUGUGACUGAGCCCCCACACACCCCAAACCCACAUACCUGAUGAGCAAGACCCCCUACACUCCAUACUCCUGUACCGGAUGAUGGCCAACCACUACAGUUACCUCCAUGACAGUCUCCCUGUUAAGCUCUUCCAUUUACAUCAGCAUUUUAUAUUGCAAAGAGAGAAGAAACACACCACAUGUAGAGGUACAUUGUUGCAAAGAUUUAAUAUACACAUACUUUUGUUUCUUAUAAUCUAUCUACAAAGUGUAACAUCUUAUACUAACAGCUGAUAUGGUUUCUGAUUCACAAAACUGCUGUUGUCAAUUGGAAAAUUGUACUUGUGAAACAACAUUUAAUACAUGUAUGUACAUGGUGCAGGUAUGUAUAAUACAGCAGAGGACUCUGAAGUAAGCUUUGGUCGUGGCAGGGCCAGUCAUAAUGCUCCAAAGUGGCCCAGUCUCAACGCUAUACUGGCCCCGCAUGUGUGGCCCAGUAACCCAGCUUGACCUCCAUUCCAGUCAGUCAGAUAUCAGUCAGUGUACCGGCAGUCCUGUCAAAACAAAGCAAACAAACAAAACUCAUAAAAACAAAACAAUACAAAUAAAAUGGAAAGAAAUAUGAAAUGACAAAUUUUUGUGUGAAUAAACAUUUUGGUGAGAAAUAAACUGGAAUGAAUAGGAAAGAAUGAAACCAAGUCAUGCAGUAACCGGUUACUGGAAAACUUCAUCCUCAAGUACAGUCUCUGAGUUUGUCACCGAGUCUUUGUUCUGUGUCUCCUGGUUAUUUCCCACCUUAGCUGGGACUUGGGUUGUGUUCUUAACUUCUUCUGAACGGUUCUCACUCUCACUAGUUUCUUCCCUGUCCUCUCUACUGUCUUUAAGUGUCUCUACCCCUGGUUCCUUCCCCUGCGCUCCAUCUGUCUCAAGAUGUUCAUUCUUAGUUUCAAGAUGUUCAUUCUUAGUCUCAAGACUUUCACCCUUAUUUUCAAGACCUUCAGCCUCAACUGCAGUCUCAACAGGUUCACCCUUAGUCAGAUUUUCAGUCUGACUCCCCUGACCCUCCCCACUCUCCUCCUCUCCAUCCACAUGUUCCACUGUGAUCUCAAUAUUAUGAUUAUCUUCGUCCUUUUUAUCUUCUUUCACUCCUUCCUUUUCUUUAUUUUCUCCUUUUUGCAUUCUCACAUUCUCUCCAUCUUCGGAGUCACUCUGCCUAACCUGUUCUUCCUCCUCACUUCUAUCAUCC